GCCGUCACAGCCACUGUGCCGGGCUCUGGUGUCCUGCUGGGGGCCGUGCGGGUCCUCUGAACCUGUUUACUCUGCUCAGAGAGCUGCCGCGCCGAGGUGCCGGCGGAACCGCUGCGCCGGCCAUGAGAGUCGCGCUGGCCACCCAUGUGUUUCCUCCACUGAGGGAUCUUCUGCUCCUCUGCAGGAUGAAAGUGGACAAUUUGGUGGAGAAUUUGGUGGAAGAUUUGGAGACCUAAAAAUGAUGGUAUCAUCUGAUGGAAGGAUCCUGGAUCCUUGGGUCACUUCAUGGAGCAGAAAUACCAUCCCACCACCUGAUUACAAUUUCC
rnacentral:lncRNA from 13 species